UGAUCUCAAAAUAAAGUUUGCUACAAGAAACUAAAAUUAAGAAUGAAAUAGAGAAGGGAACAAAAAGGCAUGAUAUAUAUCUUAUAUUCUGAAUAUCCCAGCAGCCCAGAAAAGAGUGGCAGAGGGAGGCAGGGGAGAAAAGGCAAAAGUGCUACUUGUAACCCGAGUGGCACGAGGGAAAAGCUCUGCCUCCUGCAAAGCUAGAAAUAUAAAGUUGCUGUUGAUCGUACAUAUAGUUAGCACAUGCUAGCCAUGUGCUUCCUGACAACUGCAGCCAUGGUCAUGGCUUAAAGAGGG